rnacentral:rRNA from 1 species
GGCUCAGGAUGAACGCUAGCUACAGGCUUUAACACAUGCAAGUCGAGGGGCAGCAGGGAUUUUAGCUUGCUAAAUUCGCUUGGCGACCGGCGCACGGGUGCGUAACGCGUAUCCAACUUUCCCGUUACUCUCGGAUAGCCUUCCGAAAGGGAGAUUAAUACGAGAUGGUGUUCUAAUUCCGCAUGUUAUUAGAACUAAAGAUUCAUCGGUAACGGAUAGGGAUGCGUGACAUUAGAUAGUUGGCGGGGUAACGGCCCACCAAGUCCACGAUGUCUAGGGGUUCUGAGAGGAAGGUCCCCCACACUGGAACUGAGACACGGUCCAGACUCCUACGGGAGGCAGCAGUGAGGAAUAUUGGUCAAUGGCCGCGAGGCUGAACCAGCCAAGUAGCGUGAAGGAUGAAGGUUCUAUGGAUUGUAAACUUCUUUUAUACGGGAAUAACAUCACCUACGUGUAGGUGCCUGCAUGUACCGUAUGAAUAAGCAUCGGCUAACUCCGUG